AUUGAACGCUGGCGGCAUGCCUUACACAUGCAAGUCGAACGGCAGCACGGGAGCAAUCCUGGUGGCGAGUGGCGAACGGGUGAGUAAAGUAUCGGAACGUGCCCAGUCGUGGGGGAUAACGUAGCGAAAGUUACGCUAAUACCGCAUACGAUCUAUGGCUGAAAGCGGGGGAUCGCAAGACCUCGCGCGAUUGGAGCGGCCGAUAUCAGAUUAGGUAGUUGGUGGGGUAAAGGCUCACCAAGCCGACGAUCUGUAGCUGGUCUGAGAGGACGACCAGCCACACUGGGACUGAGAAACGGCCCAGACUCCUACGGGAGGCAGCAGUGGGGAAUUUUGGACAAUGGGCUAAAGGCUGAUCCAGCCAUGCCGCGUGCAGGAUGAAGGCCUUCGGGUUGUAAACUGCUUUUGUACGGAACGAAAAGGUUUGGCCUAAUAAGCUGAGCUCAUGACGGUACCGUAAGAAUAAGCACCGGCUAACUACGUGCCAGCAGCCGCAGUAA
rnacentral:rRNA from 1 species